AGGAGAGGUCGGAGCCAUCUCCACGAGCCCUUAGAGACCGAGUCCCUGGCAGCAGUGGCGGUGGCGGGGGGAGCGCACCGGCAGAUUCAUUCCACCACUUACAAGCUGAAAAUGGUAGGCCACGGGAAGUCUUACUGGUUUCAGGUAGAAACAACAGUUGAAGAUGUCCAGCAAAAAGGCAAGCACCAACAACAUCGCCCAGGCCAGAAGGACGGUGCAACAGUUGAGGAUGGAAGCCUCCAUCGAGAGAAUAAAGGUUUCAGAGGCGUCAGCGGACCUCAUGUCCUACUGUGAGGAGCACGCCAGAAGCGACCCUUUGCUGAUAGGGAUACUGACCUCAGAAAACCCUUUCAAGGAUAAAGAAACUUGCAUCAUCUUAUAGAGGAACAGUGAAAUGGCUCCUCGCCUCUUCUCAACAAAGCAAAUUAUGAGCAGCUCCUUGGAAGAAAUUUACCUUCAGCUUAUUUGGUAACCACUGCUAAUAAAGCUUAUACU